UACGGGGGGGGCGAGCGUUGUCCGAAUUUACUGGGCGUAAAGCGCGCGUAGGCGGGCUAUUAAGUCGGUUGUGAAAGGCCGAGGCUCAACCUCGGGACUGCGACCGAUACUGAAAGCCUUGAGUGCGGGAGGGGGAAGCGGAAUUGCUGGUGUAGCGGUGAAAUGCGUAGAUAUCAGCAGGAACGCCGGUGGCGAAGGCGGCUUCCUGGACCGUAACUGACGCUGAGGCGCGAAAGCCAGGGGAGCGAACGGG
rnacentral:rRNA from 1 species